rnacentral:rRNA from 1 species
GUGAGGAAUAUUGGACAAUGGAGGAAACUCUGAUCCAGCCAUGCCGCGUGAAGGAAGUAGGCCCUAUGGGUCGUGAACUUCUUUUGGCGCAGAGCAAUAAGGGCCACGCGUGGUCCGAUGAGAGUAUGCGUCGAAUAAGCAUCGGCUAACUCCGUGCCAGCAGCCGCGGUAAUACGGGGGAUGCGAGCGUUAUCCGGAUUUAUUGGGUUUAAAGGGUGCGUAGGCUGCGCGACAAGUCGGCGGUGAAACCCCGGGGCUCAACCCCGGGCCUGCCGUCGAAACUGGCGCGCUGGAGUUCGGAUGCCGUGGGAGGAAUGAGUGGUGUAGCGGUGAAAUGCAUAGAUAUCACUCAGAACACCGAUUGCGAAGGCAUCUCACGAAUCCGAGACUGACGCUGAGGCACGAAAGCGUGGGGAUCAAACAGGAUUAGAAACCCGGGUAGUCC